CCUACGGGUGGCAGCAGUGGGGAAUAUUGGGCAAUGGAGGAAACUCUGACCCAGCAACGCCGCGUGAAUGAUGAAGGUCUUCGGAUUGUAAAGUUCUUUUCUAAGGGAAGAAGAAAGUGACGUUACCUUAGGAAUAAGCCUCGGCGAACUACGUGCCAGCAGCCGCGGUAAUACGUAGGAGGCGAGCGUUAUCCGGAAUGACUGGGCGUAAAGGGUGCGGAGGGGGUUUGGCAAGUUAGUAGCGUAACUCUAAGGCUCAACCUUGGAACUACUACUAAAACUGUUGGACUUGAGUGCAGGAGGGGCAACCGGAAUUCUUAGUGUAGGGGUGGAAUGCGUAGAUAUUAGGAGGAAUACUAGUGGCGAAGGCGAGUUGCUAGAACGUAACUGACACUGAGGCACGAAAGCGUGGGGAGCAAACAGGAUUAGAUACCCGUGUAGUC
rnacentral:rRNA from 1 species